rnacentral:rRNA from 1 species
GAUGAACGCUGGCGGCGUGCUUAACACAUGCAAGUCGAACGAUGAAGCACAGCUUGCUGGGUGUAUUAGUGGCGAACGGGUGAGUAACACGUGAGUAACCUGCCCUUAACUCUGGGAUAAGCCUGGGAAACUGGGUCUAAUACCGGAUAGGAGCGUCCACCGCAUGGUGGGUGUUGGAAAGAUUUAUCGGUUUUGGAUGGACGCGCGGCCUAUCAGCUUGUUGGUGAGGUAAUGGCUCACCAAGGCGACGACGGGUAGCCGGCCUGAGAGGGUGACCGGCCACACUGGGACUGAGACACGGCGCAGACUCCUACGGGAGGCAGCAGUGGGGAAUAUUACACAAUGGGCGCAAGCCUGAUACAGCGACGCCGCGUGAGGGAUGACGGCCUUCGGGUUGUAAACCUCUUUCAGUAGGGAAGAAGCGAAAGUGACGGUACCUUCAGAAGAAGCACCGGCUAACUACGUG